rnacentral:rRNA from 1 species
UAGGGAAUCUUCGGCAAUGGGGGGAACCCUGACCGAGCAACGCCGCGUGAGUGAAGAAGGUUUUCGGAUCGUAAAGCUCUGUUGUUAAGGAAGAACGAGUGUGAGAAUGGAAAGUUCAUGCUGUGACGGUACCUAACCAGAAAGCCACGGCUAACUACGUGCCAGCAGCCGCGGUAAUACGUAGGUGGCAAGCGUUGUCCGGAAUUAUUGGGCGUAAAGCGCGCGCAGGUGGUUUAGAAAGUCUGAUGUGAAAGCCCACGGCUCAACCGUGGAGGGUCAUUGGAAACUAAUAAACUUGAGUGCAGGAGAGAAAAGUGGAAUUCCUAGUGUAGCGGUGAAAUGCGUAGAGAUUAGGAGGAACACCGGUGGCGAAAGCGGCUUUUUGGCCUGCAACUGACACUGAGGCGCGAAAGCGUGGGAAGCAAACAGG